rnacentral:tRNA from 1 species
GGGAUCGUGGCGGAACGGUAGACGCAGGGCAUUCAAAAUGCUCCGCCUUCGGGCGUGGGAGUUCGAGUCUCCCCGGUCCUA